UUUUUUCCCAGCUACAUAUAAGGAAUUUGAAAGUCGCAUAAAAUGGUUAAGAAAAUGUGCCAAGAUGACCUCAGUAAUUCUGGUCUGUGUUUCAGGAGACUCCUGGAAAUAAACAAUGGGUUACAGAGUGGAAAGUCCCACAAUCUUUUUCUUCUCUAUUUUCAGAAAAACACUGACCUCUUGGCGAGAAUGCACAGAAGGGAACGCUUACACACUGUUGGUGAACUGUCACCCCUGCAACUCAGCCUGCAACCGGCCCUGGCCACCACCAGUUUCCCCACACUGAGCUGAGUAUUGGACAUGCCCAUCUUAGACAUUCCAGCCCAUUCUGAAAUUCCACAUCGAUUUACCCGACAAAGUCUGAAGUUCCAGGGCAAUUUAUCUGGAAAAGCUCACCUGGCAUCACGUGUCAUUUCAACCAAUAACUAUGGAAGAGGACGUGGCAUCAAAACCAAGGGUAUCAAUUAUU